UACGUAGGGUGCAAGCGUUGUCCGGAAUUAUUGGGCGUAAAGAGCUCGUAGGCGGUUUGUCGCGUCUGCUGUGAAAACUCGGGGCUUAACUCCGGGCCUGCAGUGGGUACGGGCAGACCAGAGUGCGGUAGGGGAGACUGGAAUUCCUGGUGUAGCGGUGAAAUGCGCAGAUAUCAGGAGGAACACCGGUGGCGAAGGCGGCUUGCUGGGCCAGUUCUGACGCUGAGGCGCGAAAGCGUGGGGAGCAAACGGG
rnacentral:rRNA from 1 species